rnacentral:lncRNA from 1 species
UAGAGUUACAAGUGCUUUCCUUGCUGCCAUCAAAACAAGUCCCUUGGUGACUUCUGCCUUUAAAGUGUCAUUUGCCUUAAUGGGGUUGACAGAAGGCCACCUGCCACAUGACCUAUGUCCUGCAGGGUGUCCCCUGACCUCCUUCUCAAGCCCACUCAAAUUCUAUGGCUGCAGAGACAGAAGCCCCAAAUGGACCCGCUAUUCAAGUGUCUAGCCCAGGCUGACUUUUGUCUUCUGUCCAGGGGAAAGCUGGCGGUGAGUGCUUGCUCUUUCCUCUUCAAUGAACCUGCUUUUCCAUCUUGGAAGAGGAUGAAAUGCACCUCUCAGAAUGCAAGUUUCCCUGCGGACACUAUCCCCAGUGGUGGAGUGAUGGAGAGAACUGAGAUGAGGUCAGGGAACAACUGAACUAAAAACUCACGAAAUGGAAGGUGGCUAUCCUGUCUUCAAUGCUGGCUGGACUGGAGAAUUCCCAGAAUGCUCUUGGACAUUGGAGUACUUCCUGCAGAUGGGAGGAGGUGGUCUGCCUGGGAGAAGCAAGUCACCUGGGUCACAUGGCACUUGACCUUCAAGACUAAACGAGAAGGAACGCCUGGUAGGAUGGGUGCUGUUUUUACGAAGUCCAGGAGGUCAAGCAAUGAGCCAUUGGGGUGAAUCACCGAACAGAACACUAAAGGGAGACUUUUGUUCCAAUCAUGAGUUUAGAGGAGAGUCUUAAAAUGGUAAGGACAAGUAAAUAUGGGGCAAGAAGCAUAACCGAGCCAAGAAAUGCUGGAGCAGAUGACAACUGAACAGUAGAAACCAGGCAGAGGCCAGCCCUACAGGGCCAGGGAGGAAAGAAACAGCAGACUGGAGAAAACAAUAAAAAGGGAGAAAAAGAAAUAUGGAGAUGGGGA